rnacentral:lncRNA from 1 species
UAGCUAUGGUUUAUGAUUCUGGGUUAGACAAGUAUUGGUGUUAUAGUACUCUUACAGUAGUACAACAUCAAGCAAACUUCAUGCUCUAACCUUCAUAUAACAAGAAAUUAUAGAGGCUCAAAGUCACUGUCAGAGCUGUUCUUGAGUUUCUAGGCAACUCAGAACAGUGGUCAUGGCCAGUCAACGGUUUUGUGGCUUUAAUAUCUCCG